AGAACAAGCGGCACCUCGCCUCCUGCGUGUCCCUACAGAGCCCCGGCACAAUCAGACUGCCCCAAGCCAGCUCCGAAACCCGAAAUCCCCGCUCCGGCGCUUGCCCACCACGGCCAAAGUUGUGGAAACAGCUUUGACUUUAUUCUCCUCUCUCUCUCAUCUUUUUUUGCCUCGCUUACACACGCAUUCACACUUGCCCCCACAGGAUCCCUCUAGGGGUGCAAGUUCAUCCCCCACCUAGCCACCCACCCCAUCCAGUCGGCACCUAGAGCCGCACGGAGGUUCGGACCCCGCCCGCCGAGGGCGCCCACACCUGGAGCUGGGUUUCGGCCUCUGCGAAAGUGAAAUGCCCAAGCCUCCGGCCAAAGCCCAGACCAGUACAGUAUGAAUUGUCCUAUGAGACUGAGGGGUUCGGCUUCAUUCCUACCUGCCCGCAAAGCUCGCCCCCAGCCUCGAAAACAAAGCGACUGGUCUGACGUGGGGUCCCUGCGCCCCUCCUCUAGCGCGACAGGACCCCCCCAGGGAAGAGCCAGUACCCGUGGGAUGUCACCCCGUCCCCAUCUACCGGGGUGGGGGGCCUGAAAGGAGAACGAUUUAAAAUAAUCUUCAGAAAGAAAAGGGAGGAGGGAGCGGGUGACACAUCGUUCACAUAAACCCAAUUUCUGGUUUCGAGUGAAGUCAAGAUCUCCGCCCCUGCGCCUGCACACACACCUCCUGCCUAACAUUCUCAGCUGCAAAUGCCAAAAAAGAAAAAAAAAAAAAACAGCAAAAGUUGGGACUGCCACCUAUUUAUUUAGGUAAUCUCCAGCCCUACACACCCCAACCCCUCUCUCGGACUCAUUGCUCAUUACAGUGUUGGUUGUAACCGUUCCCAGCGCCUCCUGCGGGUGGACAGGUCGCGCUAGGGUCUCCCUUGCUGCCUCAAGAAGGCGAGCUCAGGGGACUCUGCGUUUUAAAAUGGGUUCCAAAGCGGCGCGCUCUGUCGGCCCAGCGGGCUUGCGGCACCAGAGGUGGUCUGCAGCCGCGCAAGGAUUCCCACGGUCGUUCUGGGCUGGUGCAGAAGCUGGUGCUCCCGCACCCAGCGGCCAGCAGGCUCGGCGCAGCACAUCUCCCCACCCCACCCCCACACACCCCCGUGGGGUGCGUCGAUCCUGUAGCUCAGAGGGAGAAGCUACUUAGAACUUCGUGAAGCACAGAGGAUCUGGAGCGAGCCCCGCAGCUGGGAUCAGUGGUCUUAAGUUGAACCCGCUUACAGGAAGAUGCAGCCCAGCUCACAGCGAAGUGUGGGGGGGCCGUCUCUAAAGCCGAGAAGGGAACCGCUUUAGAAGUGGGGGUGGGGGGAAGAAAGAAUGAAUGAAUGAAUGAAUGAAUGAAUAGAAAGAAGAAGGAAUAUUAAAGAUCGGAGAGGAAGUUCAAGAGAGAAAAGAGUUUUCUCUUUCCUUUCUGUUCCUGGUGACUUGGGCCCUCAAUCUCGAUGAAGAUAACACGAGGAGUGCACAGGCAAGUGCCCAGUUGCCAGCAAUUGCUUCAAAAGCCCAUGUUCUUCUUUUCCCCCAUUCUUAGGCACAGCCAAAAUUGGUCAGAAAGGGGAGUAAAGUGGGACACGAGCUUCAAAGUAGGGAAACCAAAGAAGGGAGCAUCCACGUCCUCUCUCUGCAGCUUCUCCCCCGCGUUCUUCGGGCGAAUCCGAGGGACGGGCGCUGCGCUGGGGAAAGUUUGUCCCACCCGCGUUUCGCAGCUGGUUGCAAGGAGAGGAGGAGGAGAGGGAGGGUCAAGCUCGGAGCCUGUGACCGCACGGAUGAUCGAGCCGGCGUCGCGCUUACCUCGCAGUCCUCGUACUUGAUAUUAUCCGUCAAUUUCCAAAGCAUUUUCAUGGAUCGGCGUGAACGGAUAUGCCCCUCUCGGUCUCGCACCCAAGUGGAGCUACUCUCUGGCUCUUUACCAACAGCCUAAUCGCCUCAUUAGCAUAUCAACAAUAGUCCAAUUGCUCGCCAGUACCACAAUCUGCCGCCGGCCGCUCCGACACAGGUAUAAAGGCCUCUCUACGCCGCGAACUUGCUUCUAGAGCGCACUCCAGCCUGCGAACUGAUAAAACCUUCCUCGAGCUCCGCCGCGAGGCCCUGCCCCAACACCCCCUCUCUUACCCCAAUUCCGCCACAUUCCCCUUCCUUUCUUUCUCCGCUUCCUUUUCUCCAGAGAUGCCUUCUGCAAAGCCCGGCACUGCUCAAGGUCCAAGCGCCACGCCUGGGGCCCAGCUUCUAGCACUUCUCCCUUAACCCUGCUACCACGAUCCGAGCUGCCCUUUUGGCCCCGUGCAAUUUUAUUAGAAAUCAUUAUCCCUUUCGCAAUUAAACAUAACCACCAAAC
rnacentral:lncRNA from 1 species